CUGCAUUCUAAACCCUCCUGGCAGCUCUCUUACUAGCUUCCAGGAUAAGAAUGAAUGCUAGAGAAAACUGUUGAUUAAUCCAAAAUGCAGAGCUCUUCUCCCGUGGCUCUCCAUUAUUUCACGUCUUCGACACUU
rnacentral:snoRNA from 1 species